CCCAUUCUACCUUUGGCUUCUCUGAGAAACGGGCCCAGACAACAUCUGGAAAAACAGUGCUGGGCUGCCCUGGCCAGCGAAAGAGGUCUCGUAGAGUCUGUUUAGUUUCUAAGCUCUGAUUUUAUCUCGUGGAUAAGAUCCAUAUGGAGAGAGUAGGGAGGGGAGAGUGAGUGCCGGGGGACAAAGCGAGGGCUGCAACUACAGUAGGUCUGUUUCUGGCCCUGUGGCAUCUCUUUCAGAGCUGGAGCUUUGCUCGGCCCUUGCCUUAAUCACAGCAUCUCCUCGGGGAAAGCCUGUCUGUUGCUUUGAGAGCAACUCGUGAAAAUAUUUAGUGGAGGGGGUGGUGGUGAAGACUCAAGGCUUCAGCUCCAGUACUGGGAUUGCUACCAAUGCUAUCAUCCAAGCUCAUCCUAUCCCAUCAACUAGACAGACCAUGGAUAUGUGUGACCUGGACUGGUCCAGAUCUCUACUGCCAACUAGCGUAACCCCGGAAAGAAAGAAAGAAAGACCCUCAACUGACCUGUUUCACAUAUUCUGCGGAAUCAACUUGGAAAUCAUUGUCAAGUUCCAAAAAUGACUUUAUUUGGGAUAGAGGCUGAAAUUCUAAUGAGUAAAUGCAGUUAGUUUGAGAUGAAUAAACAUAUUUUC
rnacentral:lncRNA from 1 species